GGGAGAUCAAACCCUUCUAAUCACGACCUCCUCUUCAGGUAUAACCACGCCCAACAUGAUCCAGACACCUGUCUCCAGGCCCGCCUGUGACUGCAUGCGGCCUUGGGGGACAUCUGGCCAUGAACCAUAGCCAGGGUCCAGGGAGGCCUGAUGACCCGGAGGUCACGUCAUCAGAGCAGGCCGUGUAGAACAGGGGCCUUGUCAGGCUCUAACUGGAAUCCAGCCCAGUUUUCAGCUCCACAUGUGACCUUGGAGGAGUCUGUAGCGGCAGGAAAAAGGGAAGAAGUACAGCCCGGACCACAGGCACCAAUUAACAAGAUGAGUCUUCUGCGGCUGGCCAGAUGCAGUGGUCAGGAGUCCGAGGUGGCUGACAAGGGCUCAGUGAGGGGACUCCAGCGGCCAAGGAAGUUCCAUUUGGGGACAACGGGAGCUCAGAGGGGCUCGGCUGGGCCCCUCCAUCAUGACCCCCAGGGCUUCCCACAAUGACAACAGAAGACCAACAUGAAGACAUGGGACAAGGACGCAUCCCCCAAGAACUGACGGUCUUCUGCCCUGGAGCUGCUCUGGAGGCAACUGUAGAGGCCAACUUAAAUUCCCACCAGAAAAGACAGUGUGUUAAAAUUUCUUUGCUAACAAAAUGCCAAAAAAAAUAGAAAUACAGGUCAUAAGCAUCUGACAGGUAGGGAGAACGAACAAUGUAUUGAAGGGGAAAAAGGCGAGCCAAAGGAAAUAAAGAAAGGAAAAGAACUAGGGAGAAGAAAGCAGGAAACGCUUCUGGAUGCUGCUCUGGGCACAGGUUUUCUGGAUGGGACCCCCAAGCCCAGGCAACGGGGGCAAAACAGUCUCAUUAAAAUACAUAUGUUCACGAAGGCAGUAACAGAGCAAAGAGACGCUGGGGCAGAAUGGGUGAGAGUAUUUGCAAUCUAUGCACCAGUAAGGCAUUGCUAACCAGAAUACAGGAGGAACUCAGAAAAUUGAGCAGUACAGGGUAGGGCCGUGCAUCCUGUAGUCCUGGCACUCAGGAGGCUGAAGCAGGAGUGUUGCAAGUCCAAGGCCAGCCUGGGCAAUUUAGUGACUUUGCAAGACUGGGUCUCAAGACAAUGACAACAACAAAUCCUAACGGAGAAAUCACUAGCAAGAGCUAGAGAAAAACUAGAACAAGUAAAAAGCAUUAAAAAGAGAGUAACUCCAACCACAUCAGCAAGUACAACAUGCACAGACUAAAUGUUCGAAUAAAAGCAGUAACUGAGCAGAUGCAGGAAGGUGGCCGAGACUGUAUCUCAAAUGCAAAGAUCAGACAAGUGAAAGAGGGAGCGUUCAGCAACUCCCAGCCAGAAAAGAGCUGAGUAGCGACACCAAAGGAAGCCCAAACCGAACUUGCAGAACGAAGCUGUACUAGAAGUGAACAGCACAGCACAUGACACCCAGGAGCCGUACUGAUUCUCGGCAUGCACAAUGCUCCCAUGGCCCACGGGGUGAGACAGGCCUUUCUUCCAAUUGACAGGUCAAAGGCGUCAGAAACUCGGUCGGGGCACAGGGAUUUGAGCAAUAAAAUUCACAAGCAGAAUACGCCUCCUUUCCCGGUGCAAAAGGAAACGUUUUUUUAAAAAAUUGCUGAUGUCUCAACAAGUCUCAGGAAAUAUGAAAGAUUUCUUUUAAUUAAUCUAUUAAUUUAUUUUUGGUACCAGGGAUCGAACUCAGAACCUCGUGCCUACAAGGUAGGCGCGGCACCACUGAGCUAAGUCCCUGGCCCAGUCUGAGAGAUUUGGUAACACUCAAGACCAUAUUCCCUGAGCACAAAGCAGUUGAGUCCCAGCAGUCGGUGCCACAGGAAAACUAGAAGAAAACCUAGGUCAAACAAGUAAUUCAAACAAAGCAAUUCUAAAUUGUGGUUCGAGAAGUAUAAAAAUAGAAUCAGCACAUAUUUUCACUGGAAAUCAAUGAAAAUAUUGCAUGUCAAAACUUGAGACAUCCAGCUAAAAUAAUAAUCUAUGCAAGCAAAAUUAUAGUGCUAAAUAUUUAUUUUAGAAAAUAAGGAAAGCUGAGAAUGUGUGAAGUAAGCAUCAAUCUAAAACCUGGGCAGGAAGCCGGACGGGGUGGCUCAUGCCUAUAAUCCCAGCAUUCAGGAGGCUGAAGCAGGAGGAUCUCUGUGAGUUCGAGACCAGCCUGGGCUACACAGUGAGUUCCAGGUCAGUCUCAACUACAUAGUGAGACCCUGUCUCAAAAAACCAAAAAAUAAAAAGUGAAUAAAAUGAUGCAAGAAAACAGCCUAAAACAAAGUAGCAAGAAUGAAAUGUUAAGUAAUGAGAAAACACAUGGGAGACAGCAUUCACAGACCCAAAACCAGUUCAAAGGGGAAAAAAUAAAAUUGUCAAAUUUUUGGAAAUACUGAUAAAGAAUAAAAGAAGAUAUGGAACAAAUAAAACAUUAGAGAUUAAGCUAUAAUUACAUACACAACCGUGACCAGACAGGCAGCAAUAUUGUAUAAGUAAAAUCUUGUAUAAGUAAAGUUUUAUGCCAAUAUAUUUGAGAGUUUAAAUGAAGUUGAUAAAGUGGUAGAGAAAAAUGCUUCCAUAAUAAUAAUAAAUAGAAAACUAAAAUAGUCCUGUCACCACUGUGGCUGUUGAACAUAAAUGUCACUCUGACUGGAUUAAGAGACCUCUGGCCAGAUAAGCAAUGAAAUCGUCCUGUGGGUGUGCCUGUGGGUGUGCCAGAGAUGAUUGGCAGGUACAUCAGCAAACUAAGAAGCAAAGGGCCCACCCUGAUUGGAGGUAGCACCAUCCAAUAGGCUUGCAGCCCUGAUGGACUAAAAGGGAAAGGAGGAGGCGGUCUCCUGAGUUUGACAUGCUCCAGUCUGCCAUUAGCUAUGGGCUUCAGACUCGAGCUUCUUCAGCCUUUCAGUGCAGACUCACACCAGCAGCUAUCCAGGGAGAUUCCAGGCCUUCAGCCCUGGAUGAUGCUGUAUCCUUGAUCCUGCUUUUUCUGAGGCUCUUGGCUUCUUGGACUGAGUGGAUCCUGUGGCUGCUGAGGGUGUAGACAGCCACUGUGGACUCUCCCGCCUCCAAUCUUGUGAUCCUACUGUAUACAUAUAUGUAUUCUGUUCUAUACGUAUCAUUUCUCUAGAGAACCUAAGGGGUCCAACCAUUAAAGGAAUAUAAGUCAUAACUUAACACCUCCUCUAAAAGGCACUCUGCACAGACAAUUUUAUCCACGAACUCUAUAAGAAAACUCAACCAACAGUAAGCAGAAUUUUGAAAAAUCCAUUCAAGAGACUAGGAAGAGAGGGAACACCCUGGAACUUAUCGGGAGAGACAGGUGUAACUCUGGUCCUCGCCCUGGGGCAGCACAAGAAAGAAAAACCCAGGACCAGCGUCGCACUUAACAUUGCUGAAAAUCCUAGACAAUGUCUUAGCUCCCUGAAUCCAGCCACAUAGGAAAAGCACAGCACAUCCCCGCCAAGGUUACUCUAGGAAUCAAGCUAAUGGUAGUGUAAUGUUACCAGCAACAUUAAUAAAUUAAAGGAGAGAAUCAAAUUACCAUGUGUUAGAAGUUUAAUACAGAUGCUGACUGUUCAUCUCAAAGUGUCAGGUAAAAUUCUGAGACAGAUGAGAAACUCCUGACUGAUUUUUCCCUGUGCCAACUGGAAGCGGCACCCCUCCCGCUCACCUCUGUGUGCUCCCCGCUUGCACCCCAACGAGCUGGGACAACUUGCUCAGGUGUCUCCCCUGAAUACCCAGCAGUGUCCCCCCUGGCUUUCAUAUUACCAUUCUCCACUCCUACAGGAAUACAGCCCACUCCUGCCAUUUCAGAGGGUGCUGUUGCAUUUUUGAAGAAAGAGGAGGGCACCCUGGAGUGGCUAAGAUCAGGAGGGGGGAUCCGAGCCCCUUAUUUGCAUACCCAACAUUCACAGCACUCCUUCCAGAAGAUUCCCUGGCUUCAACCCUCGCCCUCUCCGAAACAGGCCUGUAAGCUGCACUCACUCCAGUGGUCCUGUAAAUUGGCUUGUAAUUUUAUUUCUUGAGUAUUGCAGACUCUCAAAGUCCUGUAAAUCUACUUAGGAUUUUUAUCCUGAGUAGUAUGGACAGUGGUCAUUUCCAAAGAAACAGCAAUAAACAGAGGCACUAACACCUGCUAUGGCUUGUGUCUAGAUGUCCUCCCAAAGCCUCAUGUGGUCAUAGGUGGGGCUUUUCAGAGGUGGCUGAAUCUAGGGUGUGUGAUGCUGGGAUUAAGUGUGUGAUGUUGGGCUUCCGGGUGUGUGAUUACUAAGUUGGUCCACUGAUUGGUUUGGCAUAGUUCUGGGUGAGAAUAGCAGGAAGUGUCACCCUGGUUGUAAUACAAGACACAGAAAGAGGGCUGCUGCUGUCACUUGCUGCUGUUACUUUGCCAUUUUGCUGUCUUCUACCCACCAUGAACAGUUUCUUCUCUGUGAUGCCCGUGUGACAUGACCCCUGCCUCGGAGCCAACCGACUAUGACCUGAAAACUCUAUAAACUGUGAGCUACAAUAAACUUUCUCCUUUAACUUCGAGUGUCAGGUAUUCUGUCUCAGCAGUGAGAAAAGUGACUGAGACAAUACUGAAGAGAUCCGGAGACCAGCAGGCAGUGAAGAGCAGCAGCAGAGACCAGCAGUUGUCUGUAUUGACUCCUGGCACCCACCAGUAUCUGAUGACAUCAGGACAGUAAGAGCCCUAGGCUGACGGGCAACAGUCCAACAUCCGAACUUCUGCCCAUAGCUAGAUCAUUAGCAUGUGGCAGGCCAACCUGCCAAAGACUCCUGCAGUGAGUCUCUAGUCCCCACCUGCCCGGUGUGCCAUGCAGGGUUGAAGAAAAACCUAAGACAGAGUUAGAGACAAAGUGUGAACCGGGAUGGCUGAUGCUCCUUUGGCAAAAGGCACUGGCCCGUCUCUUCCACCAAAUUUUAUUAUCCCUCAAUCAGGGUAAAGGUGCAUGAAGAGAUGUGCAGUACAUGAAAUUAUUACGGAAACCAAUGCAGGCACGGCUUUAGAGUCAAAGCAUUUUCAAAUUAGAAGCGAG
ensembl:lincRNA